GACGGGGGGGGGCAAGUGUUCUUCGGAAUCAUUGGGUUUAAAGGGUCCGUAGGCGGUUUAAUAAGUCAGUGGUGAAAGCCCAUCGCUCAACGGUGGAACGGCCAUUGAUACUGUUAAACUUGAAUUAUUAGGAAGUAACUAGAAUAUGUAGUGUAGCGGUGAAAUGCUUAGAGAUUACAUGGAAUACCAAUUGCGAAGGCAGGUUACUACUAAUGGAUUGACGCUGAUGGACGAAAGCGUGGGUAGCGAACAGG
rnacentral:rRNA from 1 species